rnacentral:rRNA from 1 species
GACGAACGCUGGCGGCGUGCUUAACACAUGCAAGUCGAACGGAAAAGCCCUGCUUUUGUGGGGUGCUCGAGUGGCGAACGGGUGAGUAACACGUGAGUAACCUGCCCUUGACUUUGGGAUAACUUCAGGAAACUGGGGCUAAUACCGGAUAGGAGCUCCUGCUGCAUGGUGGGGGUUGGAAAGUUUCGGCGGUUGGGGAUGGACUCGCGGCUUAUCAGCUUGUUGGUGGGGUAGUGGCUUACCAAGGCUUUGACGGGUAGCCGGCCUGAGAGGGUGACCGGCCACAUUGGGACUGAGAUACGGACCAGACUCCUACGGGAGGCAGCGGUGGGGAAUAUUGCACAAUGGGCGGAAGCCUGAUGCAGCAACGCCGCGUGCGGGAUGACGGCCUUCGGGUUGUAAACCGCUUUCGCCUGUGACGAAGCGUGAGUGACGGUAAUGGGUAAAGAAGCACCGGCUAACUACGUG